AAGACCUGGUGGUGCUGCCGCUUCAAAUGAUGCCGUGCUUGAGCCGUCAGGGACUAGAUAUAAGGCUCGGGGAGGACGCAGAAAUUUGUUAGACUGCCAGCCACCACGCCGUUGCUAGCCAGUCACUAAAGCAUGACAAAACCUUUCCCUGGUGGCGGUACUGAGCGCCGCAUCCAACUACCGAAGGACGGUCACUAUUAAUAGUCGAUGAUAGGGGUCUGACUGGAUGGAUGUUGGCCACAGUGAUUACCACCGAUUAUCUCCUGCCGGCCAGGGAUCUCAACCCUUUAAAUUAACGUUCCAAG
rnacentral:sRNA from 1 species